rnacentral:rRNA from 1 species
UACGUAGGGGGCAAGCGUUGUCCGGAAUCAUUGGGCGUAAAGCGCGUGUAGGCGGCUCGAUAAGUCUGCUGUGAAAGUAAGAGCUCAACCUUGGGAUGCCGGUGGAUACUGUCGAGCUCGAGUCCGGAAGAGGAGUGUGGAAUUCCUGGUGUAGCGGUGAAAUGCGCAGAUAUCAGGAGGAACACCAAUUGCGAAGGCAGCUCGCUGGGACGUUACUGACGCUGAGACGCGAAAGCGUGGGGAGCAAACAGG